UAGGGAAUCUUCCACAAUGGACGCAAGUCUGAUGGAGCAACGCCGCGUGAGUGAAGAAAGGUCUUCGGAUCGUAAAACUACUGUUGUUAGAGAAGAACGUGUGUGAGAGUGGAAAGUUCACACAGUGACGGUAACUUACCAGAAAGGGACGGCUAACUACGUGCCAG
rnacentral:rRNA from 1 species